UUAUCCGGAUUUACUGGGUGUAAAGGGAGCGUAGACGGUUUUGCAAGUCUGAAGUGAAAGCCCGGGGCUUAACCCCGGGACUGCUCUGGAAACUGUAGAACUAGAGUGCAGGAGAGGUAAGUGGAAUUCCUAGUGUAGCGGUGAAAUGCGUAGAUAUUAGGAGGAACACCAGUGGCGAAGGCGGCUUACUGGACUGUAACUGACGUUGAGGCUCGAAAGCGUGGGGAGCAAACAGGAUUAGAUACCCUGGUAGUCCACGCCGUAAACGAUGAUUACUAGGUGUUGGUGGGUA
rnacentral:rRNA from 1 species